rnacentral:rRNA from 1 species
GCAAGCUUAACCGUAUAGGGCAGGCGUAGCGAAAGCGAGUCCGAAUAGGGCGUUCAGUCGCUGGGUGUAGACCCGAAACCAAGUGAUCUAUCCAUGGCCAGGUUGAAGGUGCGGUAACACGUACUGGAGGACCGAACCCACUAACGUUGAAAAGUUAGGGGAUGAGCUGUGGAUAGGGGUGAAAGGCUAAACAAACUUGGAAAUAGCUGGUUCUCUCCGAAAACUAUUUAGGUAGUGCCUCAAGUAUUACCUUCGGGGGUAGAGCACUGUUUUGGCUAGGGGGUCAUGGCGACUUACCAAACCUAUGCAAACUCCGAAUACCGCAGAGU